rnacentral:rRNA from 1 species
CAGUAGCCACGGUAAAACGAAGGGGGCUAGCGUUGCUCGGAAUGACUGGGCGUAAAGGGCGCGUAGGCGGCGAUCAAAGUCAGGCGUGAAAUUCCUGGGCUCAACCUGGGGGCUGCGUUUGAUACUUGAUUGCUAGAGUGGGGAAGAGGGUCGUGGAAUUCCCGGUGUAGCGGUGAAAUGCGUAGAGAUCGGGAGGAACAUCGAUGGCGAAGGCAGCCCCCUGGGCCAACACUGACGCUCAUGCACGAAAGCGUGGGGAGCAAACAGGAUUAGAUACCGCGUAGUCCCUGUCUCUUAUACA